rnacentral:rRNA from 1 species
UCUAAGUACCCCGAGGAAAAGAAAUCAACCGAGAUUCCCCCAGUAGCGGCGAGCGAACGGGGAGCAGCCCAGAGCCUGAAUCAGUGUGUGUGUUAGUGGAAGCGUCUGGAAAGGCGCGCGAUACAGGGUGACAGCCCCGUACACAAAAAUGCACAUACUGUGAGCUCGAUGAGUAGGGCGGGACACGUGGUAUCCUGUCUGAAUAUGGGGGGACCAUCCUCCAAGGCUAAAUACUCCUGACUGACCGAUAGUGAACCAGUACCGUGAGGGAAAGGCGAAAAGAACCCCGGCGAGGGGAGUGAAAAAGAACCUGAAACCGUGUACGUACAAGCAGUGGGAGCACAGAGCAAUCUGUGUGACUGCGUACCUUUUGUAUAAUGGGUCAGCGACUUAUAUUCUGUAGCAAGGUUAACCGAAUAGGGGAGCCGAAGGGAAACCGAGUCUUAACUGGGCGUUAAGUUGCAGGGUAUAGACCCGAAACCCGGUGAUCUAGCCAUGGGCAGGUUGAAGGUUGGGUAACACUAACUGGAGGACCGAACCGACUAAUGUUGAAAAAUUAGCGGAUGACUUGUGGCUGGGGGUGAAAGGCCAAUCAAACCGGGAGAUAGCUGGUUCUCCCCGAAAGCUAUUUAGGUAGCGCCUCGUGAAUUCAUCUCCGGGGGUAGAGCACUGUU